UACGGAGGGUGCAAGCGUUAUUCGGAAUUACUGGGCGUAAAGCGCGUGCAGGCGGGCCGGCAAGUCUGAUGUGAAAGCCCCGGGCUCAACCCGGGAAGUGCAUUGGAUACUGCUGGUCUUGAGUUCUGGAGAGGAUGGGGGAAUUCCCGGUGUAGAGGUGAAAUUCGUAGAGAUCGGGAGGAAUACCAGUGGCGAAGGCGCCCAUCUGGACGGCAACUGACGCUGAGACGCGAAAGCGUGGGGAGCAAACAGG
rnacentral:rRNA from 1 species